UACGUAGGGCGCAAGCGUUAUCCGGAAUUAUUGGGCGUAAAGAGCUCGUAGGCGGUUUGUCGCGUCUGCCGUGAAAGUCCGGGGCUCAACUCCGGAUCUGCGGUGGGUACGGGCAGACUAGAGUGAUGUAGGGGAGACUGGAAUUCCUGGUGUAGCGGUGAAAUGCGCAGAUAUCAGGAGGAACACCGAUGGCGAAGGCGGCACUCUGGGACGGUACUGACGCUGAGACGCGAAAGCGUGGGGAGCGAACAGG
rnacentral:rRNA from 1 species